rnacentral:lncRNA from 7 species
AGACCCCCACUGGAUUGGGAUGCCACACGGAAGAGAUUUCCAGGAGAGCCUUAAUUCCCAGCUUUUUGUUGCCUCUCAGGAAGCCUCCACAUCCUGAAAAAUAGGGAUGGCAUCAGCAUCUCCUGUCCUCAUACAGCAGUGAGCAGGAAACCUGGAGGAUGUGAGUGAGCAGAAUGGAGGCUCGGUCCCACAGAGUGCUCUUUUGCCAUACAAUCCAACAAACCAGUGGAGUCUGGCUCCACUGUCUGUGCUGGUGUUUGGAGGUGCCAGCUGACUGCAGCCCAGCACCUGCCUGUGUAGAGCCCCUUUCAUUUCAAAGAUGGAAAUGGAGAAACGGAGCUGUUAGAAGUACCCAAGGCAUGCUCCUAUGGAUAUCACAAGUACAAAGCCUGCAUUAACCCUUCCAAUUCCUGCUCGUAAGGAGAAUUUUGUAAGUGAUUUGUGUGCUGUUUUAUGCUUACAUCAGGUAGAAUAACUUUGAAUGACGUCAAUCUGUUGAAGCAGUUCUCUGACUUUAAUUAAUUGAUGGAGAGGAAGAAAAAGUCUCCAAGUAACCAAUUCUUAGUUGUAAAUAACACGCCCUGUUUUGUAAGAACUUAAUUAGAAAGCUUUUCCCAUUCAGCAGUGGAACGCUCAAUUCUAACAGUCUGAAAUAAGCUCAUAGUUGGGCAGCUGUGCACAAAUUAGCACUGUCACAGAGCUCAGCUUUUUUUAACCCUUUUGUUACACAGACUCAGGCUGUACUUUAGCCCACAGUACACUGCUGUACUUGACAUUUAACUCCUUCCUUGCCGUGUGCUUCUUCAGUAUGGCUGAGUGCACGCACAGCCACCCUCCUCUGCUCUGGGCACACAGAGAUGCAGGAGAAAGCUCUGCUCUUCCCUUCAGUGGAUCUGCAAACCUCGCCAAGAGAGGAACACAUUAAUGGCUGACAGCAGCCAAGCCCAAUCCGUCGUGUGCACAGUGCUGAAGGAGGCAAUUAAGUCCCUUCCAGGUUGGAAUGCUACCUGAGGGCUGACUGCAGCACGGUGAUGCUCUCCGAAGGUGUGGGUAGCAUUUUCUCACUGCAAGGAAGAUUUCAAUGAGCGGCACGGUUUCAGAUGGAUUCCUGUAGUGCCUUGCAAAAUUAAACCAAAUGAAUGCAUAUUUUAACACAGGGAAUUCUGCAAGCAAUACAAAUGGCAUUUGGGUACUGCCUUGGGAAAAUACUUGGAAAGUGCACUCACAAAGGGAAACCUAGUUUCUGCUUUCAUAGUGCACUUCAUUUUCUACAAGUAAUAUUUCUGCUAUUACUGUUGGCCAAACCUCUCUUUAUUUAAAUGGAGUAAAUGCCAAUGUGCUGUGAGACACCAAGUUUGCACCACAGCGGGUAAUGACUGUUCAUUUAUUCCUCAGUAAGAACAUUUGUGGUUUACUUUUGAGCCAAAAAGAUUGUUGGCCGUUGUUACACACACAAAAACAUGAUGUCUCAUUGAAGAUGUGGCAGCAGUUACUGACAGAAGCAAAACGAAGCCCCGGAAAGCACUGUGCAUAGAAGAUCUGUUUUCCAAAUAUGAAUGAUAUGAUCUAUGUGUUGUUAAAUCAAAGAUUUCCUUGGGCAGAAAGCCAUUAAGCCUGGAUUAAUGUCAUAAAUAUCUAACAGCUCCUUCAGGUGAACAGUUCUGAUCAGAAUGCUGCUUUGCUUACCUCAAAUCAUGCUCCGUUAAUAUCAGACUGGAAAAGAGGAGCACAGUGCUGUGCUGACGUGCCUGCAGGUGUUAUGGUGGACAAUGUGCAGCGUGUGUUCUUGGGCCUGUGGCUCCGGCACGGCCCUGGUGGCUGUGCAGGAUGCAAGGAUUUGGAUUUCAUUUCCUCCCCUGCCUCAGAGAGCCUCGGCCUGUAGCUCCUAUCUCCCUGGAGAGCUGCCUAAUGAGGCAGGAAGGAAUUCUCUCUCCGUCCAUCUUAUUAAAGCCGUAUCGCUUUGAAUGGAAUCAUUAAG